GAUGAAACGCUGGCGGCGUGCCUAAUACAUGCAAGUCGAACGCGAGCACUUGUGCUCGAGUGGCGAACGGGUGAGUAAAUACAUAAAGUAAACCUGCCCUAGACGGGGGGAUAACUAUUGGAAACGAUAGCUAAGACUGCAUAGGUACGGACACUGCAUGGUGACCGUAUUAAAAAGUGCCUCAAAAGCACUGGUAGAGGAUGGACUUAUGGCGCAUUAGCUGGUUGGCGGGGUAACGGCCCACCAAGGCGACGAUGCGUAGCCGACCUGAGAGGGUGACCGGCCACACUGGGACUGAGACACGGCCCAGACUCCUACGGGAGGCAGCAGUAGGGAAUUUUCGGCAAUGGGGGAAACCCUGACCGAGCAACGCCGCGUGAAGGAAGAAAGGUUUUUCGGAUUGUAAAACUUCUGUUAAUAAAGGAAGAAACGGCGGCUACAGGAAAUGGUAGCCGAGUGACGGUACUUUAUUAGAAAGCCACGGCUAACUACGUGCCAGC
rnacentral:rRNA from 1 species